GAUGAAGAACGUAGCGAAAUGCGAUAAGUAAUGUGAAUUGCAGAAUUCAGUGAAUCAUCGGAUCUUUGAACGCACAUUGCGCCCCCUGGUAUUCCGGGGGGCAUGCCUGUCCGAGCGUCAUUACAACCCUCAAGCUCAGCUUGGUGUUGGGCCCCGCCGCCCCGGCGGGCCCUAAAGUCAGUGGCGGUGCCGUCCGGCUCCGAGCGUAGUAAUUCUUCUCGCUCUGGAGGUCCGGUCGUGUGCUCGCCAGCAACCCCCAAUUUUUUUCAGGUUGACCUCGGAUCAGGUAGGGAUACCCGCUGAACUUAAGCAUAUCAAUAAGCGGAGGA
rnacentral:misc_RNA from 1 species